AGUUCGGUUGCGUAGUUGGUUAUCGCAUCUAACAUACAGAAGGUCCCUGGUUUGAGCCCGGGCCGAAUCA
rnacentral:tRNA from 1 species